UGAUUUACAUUUGAGUGAGUGGCGAACUGGUGAGUAACACGUGGGAAACCUGCCCAGAAGCGGGGGAUAACACCUGGAAACAGAUGCUAAUACCGCAUAACAACUUGGACCGCAUGGUCCGAGUUUGAAAGAUGGCUUCGGCUAUCACUUUUGGAUGGUCCCGCGGCGUAUUAGCUAGAUGGUGGGGUAACGGCUCACCAUGGCAAUGAUACGUAGCCGACCUGAGAGGGUAAUCGGCCACAUUGGGACUGAGACACGGCCCAAACUCCUACGGGAGGCAGCAGUAGGGAAUCUUCCACAAUGGACGAAAGUCUGAUGGAGCAACGCCGCGUGAGUGAAGAAGGGUUUCGGCUCGUAAAACUCUGUUGUUAAAGAAGAACAUAUCUGAGAGUAACUGUUCAGGUAUUGACGGUAUUUAACCAGAAAGCCACGGCUAACUACGUGCCAGCAGCCGCGGUAAUACGUAGGUGGCAAGCGUUGUCCGGAUUUAUUGGGCGUAAAGCGAGCGCAGGCGGUUUUUUAAGUCUGAUGUGAAAGCCUUCGGCUCAACCGAAGAAGUGCAUCGGAAACUGGGAAACUUGAGUGCAGAAGAGGACAGUGGAACUCCAUGUGUAGCGGUGAAAUGCGUAGAUAUAUGGAAGAACACCAGUGGCGAAGGCGGCUGUCUGGUCUGUAACUGACGCUGAGGCUCGAAAGUAUGGGUAGCAAACAGGAUUAGAUACCCUGGUAGUCCAUACCGUAAACGAUGAAUGCUAAGUGUUGGAGGGUUUCCGCCCUUCAGUGCUGCAGCUAACGCAUUAAGCAUUCCGCCUGGGGAGUACGGCCGCAAGGCUGAAACUCAAAGGAAUUGACGGGGGCCCGCACAAGCGGUGGAGCAUGUGGUUUAAUUCGAAGCUACGCGAAGAACCUUACCAGGUCUUGACAUACUAUGCAAAUCUAAGAGAUUAGACGUUCCCUUCGGGGACAUGGAUACAGGUGGUGCAUGGUUGUCGUCAGCUCGUGUCGUGAGAUGUUGGGUUAAGUCCCGCAACGAGCGCAACCCUUAUUAUCAGUUGCCAGCAUUAAGUUGGGCACUCUGGUGARACUGCCGGUGACAACCGGAGGAAGGUGGGGAUGACGUCAAAUCAUCAUGCCCCUUAUGACCUGGGCUACCACG
rnacentral:rRNA from 1 species